ACUAAAGCUUUUUUAAAAUUUAAUUUUAAAGUGACAGUUUUAGGUUUUAAUCUAGAAGUUGAUCUAUUUUAAAACUGACUGAUUCCAGAAGUUGGCUUGUGGAAGAAAAAGUUUACUUUUCAGCAAUGAAAUGCAUAGAAAUAUAAUUACAGUAUUAUUAAACAGAUUGUUAUGCUUUAACAAUUUCUGACAAUGGAAUGUGAAGUAUAAGAUUGUCAGUCACUGAGCAGAAAUUUGAUCUCUGAAUAUGAGUUCUCAAUGACUGUAAUAGUCAAUGAAUUUAACCUUUUGGAAUAAAAUUAUAAAAUCAUAUGUAAUUGGUUAAAAUGCUUUCACAUUAAAUUAGUAAUUUGAAUUACUUUCCUUGGCUUUGCAAAUGGAGAAAAAUUUUAGUAUUAAUAAAAUUAAAAUACCUUUUAAACCUCCUUUGACCGAGAUUGUGAAAACUAGAAACCCUUUUGUAAGAAUAUAAUAAAAAUUUCUAUUGUGCAUCAUAUUACAUUUUAAAGAGUGUGGUGUAUUAAGAGGAUACCUUUUCAGUAUUUACUUAUUUUUAGUCCUGUUAUGUAAAAACAGAUUUGGGAGAACUUAGAAUGAAAGACACAGGUAAAAUACAAAUAUUUAAGACAAGGUUAAAAAUAAUAUGAAGAUAAGGAGCAAGGAGAGCAAUAUUAAUUAAAAAUUAAGCCUGAGAACUUGUCUCACUCACUGUCAAAUCAAAUUGAUUAAAACCCUUCAUAAAAGUAAGGAAAGAAGACAAGCAUUUGCCAUUAGUACUGAGUAUUUACCUUUAACCUAAUUUUUAUACUCAAUAUAUACUUAAUAAAUACCAUCUCUGUAAAAUUUUACCAUUCAGCUGUGGUAUGUGGUGGGAGGAGAGAUAUAUGACUUAUAAUCUCUAUUUUCUUGUAAGCUUAUGGAGGAAAAUUGAAAUGCAGAAAUAUUUUUAUAUAUGGCAGGGAGAUAUGUAUGAUGUUAUUAGUUUCAAUAUUAGUUUCUAUUUCAGACAUUGAAGACAAUAUUGAAGUAUUCAUCCUUUAUGCUAUUCAGGCUUUUAAAAGAAUGUGGUAGAUAUCUGUGUACUGACCUGGAAUAAAAACCAUGAUAAAUUGAGUAAAAAAUCAAGUUGCAAAAUAUUAUGUUUAGAACUUCUACUUUCACCCUUGACAGACUAACAGGGAUUGAAUUUUAGUCUUUUGCCGCAAGCAAUUAAAAAACUAGACAGUAUAUUGGACAGUAGCAGCAUAAGACCAUGGUCCCUGAGAGACAGGAAACAAAUUAUUUGAACUCUAUAAUUUGUCUGGCUUUUUCUUGAAGGCAUAUUUGGGAUAGUGGAGCAGGAUGGGAAAUAACAGUCUCAUUAAGUUGAGAAGACAGAAAUUAGUGUUCAGGGAGUCUGAGGUGGCUACAACCAGAGUUCCACAGAGGAAGGCACUACAAAGACAAAAAGCUAUAGAAGUCUACAUAGGGAUUUUCUUGAAUUGAAUGUUUGCCGAAUGUUGAGUUACACAUGUGUAAGAUGCGAGCAUGAGUCUGGGCAGAGAACCAGCAGGGAGCAGUAACUGACUAAUUCCCAGCACCCACACAAUGCUAGGAUACAUUCAAGUUCUGACCAGCUGAGAUAAGAGAGUUCUCAUUGAUUAUCAAGGCCAAUAAAAGUCUCAUCUUAGGAGUAGAGCUAAAUUAUUCUUAACGUAAAGGCUGUUUUAGAACCCUCCCUAACGAAUCUUCCUAAAAGUUCUAAAGGAUCAGGCUCAUCUUCAAAUAAUUUAAUCACUUGCAGAACAAAGCUUCACAUUCUUUAAUAAAGACAGCAAAAUCCAAACACUCAGUAUGACAUUCACAGUGUUUAGCAUCCAAUAAAAAGACUAAUAGCCAGUAUAAGAAGCAGGAAAAUUUGACUCAUAACCAGGAGAAAAAUCAGUCAGAAGCAGACUUAACAGAUGAUAGAAUUAGCAGACAUGGAUAUUAAACAGCUAUUUCAAGUACAGUUAUGUAUUGAAAAGAGAAUCUGAGCAAGUGAGAAGAGAAAUCAAAGGAUGAAAAACCUAAUGAAACUUUUAGAGCUAAAAAUAUAUAUCUGAUGUGAAAAUUUCACUGUAUAGAAUUAACAGCUGAUUAGACACUUCAUGGAAAACAGUCAGUGAACCUGAAUAUGUAACAAUAGAAAACAUUCAUACUAAAGCCACAGACAAAAAAGAUUGACAAAAAUGAAGGAUCAGUAUCAAGAGUAUUCUAUGAAGCAUUUAGAGAAGAAACAAUACUGAAUACACAGACUUUCAGAAAUAGAGAAAAUGAGGUCAGUAUAAUCCUGAUCCCAAAAUUUUAAAAAGUCAUUACAAGAGGGAAAAAACCCUAUAGACCAGUUAUUCCUCAUGAAUACAGAUGUAAAUCUCCUCAAAAUAUAUUCAGAUUGAAUUAUAUAAAAAUAUAAAUAUAUAUAAAAACAAUAUACAUCAUAAUUAAGAUUUCAGGAGUAUAAAGUUGGUUUAACAAAGUCAGUAAGAAUAGAAGGUUAAUAUGAAGAAAUUAAUUGCAUCUCUACUAUCAGCAAAUAAAUGGAGAAGUAAAUUUUAAUAAAUUCCAUAUACAGUUGUAUCACAAAAUAUUAAAUACUUAGAGAUAAAUCUAGCAAAGGACAUACAAGACCUUUACGCUGAAAACCAUAAAAUGUUGCUGAAAGAAAUUAGAGAAGACCUAAAGAAAUGGAGAGAUGUAAUACCACAUUCAUAGAUUGGAUGUCAUAGUGAUGAUCUGUCAAAUUUCCCUAAAUUGAUUUUUAGACUUAAUGCAAUCCCAAUCAUAGUAUGAUCAGACUUUUCUAUACAAUUGACAAACUGAAUAAAUUCUAAAAUUUAUAUGGACAUGCAAAGAACCUGGAAUAUUCAAAGCAAUCUUGAAACAAGAAAUUUGGAGAACUUUAAGACAUUAUAAAGCCAUAGAAAUUAGAAUAGUGAGGUACUGGCAUAAGGAUUGACAAGUCAGUGGAACAGAAUAGAGGAUCUAACAACAGAGCAACAUUCGCAUGGCUCGUGACUUUUGGCAAAGGCAUCAAAGUAAUUGAGUGAAGGAGUGAAACUUUUUAAAACAAAUAAUGUUGGAAAAAUUGGAUCCAUAUGGAGAGAAAAAGUACCUUGACUCCUACUUCACACAUUGUAUACAAGUUUGAAAUGUAUCAUAGCCCAAAUGUUAAAUUAUGAGGAUUAUAGAAGAAAACCUAGGAGAAUAUCUUUUUAGAUCUGGUAGGCAAACACUUCUUAAAUAGGACACAGAAACAGUAUCAUAAAAUAAGAAGAUUUCCAAAUGAAACUUCAUCAAAAUUUAAAACUUUUGCUCAUUGAAAGAUAUCCUUAAGGAAAUAAAUAGGCAUAGAUUGGGAGAAAAUAUUCACAAAGCAUUCUGACAAGGGACUGGUAUCCAGGAUAAACUUCCAUGAUUGAGUAAUAAAAUGAGAACCCAGUUUUUUUCCCCUCAAGGAUAAAGAUUUGAACAUGUACUUCACAAAUAAAGAUACAUGAAUGGUAGCCAGUGGACACCUGAAAAAGUACUAAUACUAUUAUCAGGAAAUGUAUAUUAAUGCCAAAAACAUCUCGGCAUAUGCACUGUAAUGGCUACAGGUAAAAACCCUGAAAGCCAAAUGUUGGUGAAGAUGUGUAGCAGCCAUAUCUCCCAGACAUUGCUGGUGGAGUGUAUUAAUAAAAUCGUACAACCACUCUGGAAAACAUUUGGCAGUCUCUUAUAAAUAUAUGCUUAUCCUGUAACCCACCAAUUCUGCUUCUAAGUAUUUACCCAAGGGAAAUGGGAAUGAAUGGUCCCAAAAGAUCUGUAAGAAUGUUGGCUGGGUGCAGUGACUCACACCUGUAAUCCCAGCACUUUAGGAGGCUGAGGUGGGCAGAUUACCUGAGGUCAGGAGUUCGAGACCAGCCGGGCCAACAUGGCGAAACCCCAUCUCUUUUAAAAGUACAAAAAUUAGGCUGGACAUGGUGGUGCAUGCCUGUAAUUCCAGCACUUUGGGAGGCCGAGGUGGGCAGAUCACAAGGUCAUGAGAUCGAAAUCAUCCCGGCCAACAUGGUGAAACCUUGUCUCUACUAAAAAUACAAGAAUUAGCUGGAUGCAGUGGUGCACACCUGUAGUCCCAGCUACUUGGGAGCCUGAGGCAGGAGAAUCGCUUUAACCCAGGAGGUGAAAAUUUCAGUGAGCCAAGAUCACACCACUGCAGUCCAGCCUAGGUGACAAGAGCGAGACUCGGUCUCAAUAAAAAAAGAAUGUUUAUAGCAGCUUUACUUGUAAUGUCUGAAAAAAUUGGAAUCAACCCAAAUGUCUGUCAGUAGUACAGCAGAGAAACAAAUUGUGGUAUACUCGUACAAUGGGAUAUUAUCUGGCAAUAAAAGAGAAUGAACUACUUUUCUCACUGGCAAUAUAGAUGUAUCUCCAGCAAGGAACUUUAAUUUUUCCCCCCACAUUUUAGAGCAUUUAUUAGUUAUACCUUAUUUCUGAUAUAAAUUCCUGGGAAAAGUUAUCAGAAAAGAAGGACGUCUGGGAAGAUAAAACAAUAGGUAGUCUAUUUAGUUACACAACACGUUGACAGUUUUUAUCUUCAUCCUCAGAGAUGACAUUAUAAAAUUCAUCUUAAUUUGCCCUCAUUUUCCUUUAGGUACUUAGAGGCUAUGUUAUUCGAGGUACAGACUUAAAGCAAUUAUAUCAUCUCAGUGAAUUGUACAUUUUAUUAUUACAUAGUGACCAAUCCUCCUUCCCCUAUAAUCCUUUUUGCCUAAAAAUGUAUUUUAUCUGAUAUUAGUAUAGCUGUACAAGAAUCAGUGACUUCUGGUAACUGCUUACCUAGUUCACUUUUACCUAUUCAUUUACUUUCAACUUCUCUGUGUAUCUUUGUUUUGUGUCUCUUAUAAACAACUUAUAGAUGGGUUUCGUUGUUUUUAAUCCCAACUGAAAAUACAUGUCUUUUGAAUGGUUUUGGGGUACAUGUGAAGAACAUGCAAGACUAUUGCAUAGGUCCUUGAGGAAUCGCCACACUGUCUUCCACAAUGGUUGAACUAAUUUACACUCCCACCGGCAGGGUAAAAGUGUUCCUGUUUCUCCACAUCCGCUGCAGCAUCUGUUGUCUCCAGAUUUUUUAAUGAUUGCCAUUCUAACUGGCGUGAGAUGGUAUCUCAAUGUAGUUUUGAUUUGCAUUUCUCUAAUGACCAGUGAUGAUGAGCAUUUUUUCAUAUAUUUGUUGGCCUCAUGUAUGUCUACUUUGUAAAGUGUCUGUUCAUAUCCUUCACCCACUUUUGAAUGGGCUUAUUUGUUUUUUUCUUGUAAAUCUGUUUGAGUUCUUUGUAAAUUCUGGAUAUCAGCCCUUUGUCAGAUGGGUAAAUUGCAAAAAUUUUUUCCUAUUCUGUUGGUUGCCGAUUCACUCUAAUGACUGUUUAUUUUGCCGUGCAGAAGCUGUGGAAUUUGAUUAGGUCCCAUUUGUCUGUUUUGGCUUUUGUUGCCAAUGCUUUUGGUUUUGGUCAUGAAGUCCUUGCCUACGCCUAUGUCCUGAAUGGUUUUGCCUAGAUUUUCUUCUAGGGUUUUUAUGGUGUCAGGUGUUAUGUUUAAGUCUUUAAUCCACCUGGAGUUAAUUUUAGUGUAAGGUGUCAGGAAGGGGUCCAGUUUCUGCUUUCUGCACAUAGCUAGCCAGUUUUCUCAACACCAUUUAUUAAACAGGGAAUCCUUUCCCCAUUGCUUGUUUUUGUCAGGUUUGUCAAAGAUUGAAUGGUUGUAGAUACGUUGUGUUGCCUCCAAGGCCUCUGUUCUGUCCCAUUGGUCUAUAUUUCUGUUUUGGUACCAGUACCAUGCUGUUUUGACUACUGUAGCCUUGUAGUAUAGUUUGAAGUCCAGUAUGUGAUGCCUCCUGCUGUGUUCUUUUUGCUUAGAAUUGGCUUGGGUAUGCAGGCUCUCUUUUGGUUCCAUAUGAAGUUUAAGGUGAAAAGCCUAGUUUUUUAAGAGAUCAUCUAAAAUAUUUAAGGAUGUAAUGGUAUGAUGCUUGGAAUUUACUUCAGAAUAUUCAUGAGGUAGUAGAUAUGGAUGAAAUGAAACAUAUUUGAUUACAUGUUUAUAAUUGUUAAAACUUGGUGGAUGAAUUGAAUUUUUAAAAAUGUUCCAUCAGGGCCAGUCACAGUGGCUUAUGCCUGUAAUCCCAGCACUUUGGGAGGCUAAGGUGGGUGGAUCACCUGAGGUCAGGAGUUCAAGACCAGCCUGACCAACAUGGUGAAACCCUGUCUCUACUAAAACACAAAAUUUAGCUUGUUGUGGUGGCACAUGCCUGUAAGGCCAGCUACUCAGGAGGCUGAGGCAGGAGAAUCACCUGGACCUGGGAGGUGGAGGUUGCAGUGAGUCGAGUUUGUGUCACUGCAUUCCAGACUGGUCAACAGAGUAAGACUCUGUCUCAGAGAAAAAGAAAUGUUCUGUCAGGUUUUAAAUACUACUUUAUCCAUGUUACAAAAUUUCUAUCUGCAUGUUAGAAAAUUUUCAUAAAACAAAGUGCAAAAAAGGCAUUAUGUACAUUGUGGUCAUAUGUUUAUGUACAUACAACCUCCUCUUUGAAAUCUAGAACAAAAAUGUUUACAAAGAAAUGUUAAGAGCUGUAUACAGGUAUGUGUAAAGACAGUCUGAAAUAUACUCCAGACUCUUAAAUAGUUCCCUCUCCUAGUGAGAUAUGCUGAACUAUUUUAUAAGCUGAAUAUGGACUGAUAAAUAUGGUUUAUAUAUAUUCAGUUUAUAAGAUAGUUGACCAUAUCUCACACUUCAGUGCACAGCCAACCUGAAUAUUAAGGAUUUUUAAAAUAAUUGAAUGUUUAUUGAAUAUUAAAAAUAAUAUAAAUAUCUAUGUAUACAUAUAUACAGCUCUUUCAGUCAGUUCAUUCACAUGGGGAUCAUCUCACCCUGAAACAUCCCCUAUACGGCUUGAAUUUCUUUACAAUGAGCAUUUAUUAGCUUUGGAACUGGAAAAGCAAAUUUUUGUAGAAGAUUGAACAGUAAGACAAGAAGUAAAUGAAAGCUUGAGACCAUACUAUAUCAAGUGAUUUGAAAAUUCUUGGAUGAAGAGUAUGUCUCAGAGUUUUCAAAAACGCUUUGAUGAAAAGUAUUUCGGCUGACCUUUCUGAAUACAUGGAAAUUGUAUUUCAAAAAGUUGUUUCUUUUGAGACCUAUAAUAUUUAAAAUGUUUUAAUUUAUUGUAAUAUUUUUAUGCCAUAAUAUUUUUUCCUCACUUCUUGAUAGACUCAACUUUUAAAUUAGACUGAUGUCUCUAAUGAUAAUGUAGCUUUUACAAUUUCUGUUACAGUUCAUUUUAGAAAACUUUUCUGUUAAAUAAUGUACUUCAUAUCAUUUAAUAUCAACUCAUGAAUUUAUUGAGCACCUGAAUAAAUUUGCAAUGUAGCAAGUGUUUAGAAGAAGACACGGUUCUUUCUCUGUUCUUCCCAUUGGGUCCCUCCCACAACAUGUGCGAAUUCAAGAUGAGAAUUCUGUAAACAGGUUAUAUGUACAUAAAACAACUAGAAAGAUCUUCUAAGGUACCAUUUAUGCAGCUGCUGGGUAGUAUGAUACUUAAGGGACACCAGAAAAGUAAAGGGUGAUCAUGGAGUAGAGAGCAUUUGCAAUACUUUUUAGCCAUUAGAUGUUAAUGUUCAUUAUGCUGCAAACCAAACAAGUGCUCUGUGGGUUAUAUAUACUUAACUGAUAAAGAUUUAUGUUGCAAAUGUGUAGAAAAGGAUCUGGAAGGAUACAUACCAAACCGACCUGUGUUUGUAUCUUAUUUCUGAGGGAGAACAGGUUGGAUGGUCUGAUUUUUGUUAGAACUAGUAAAUAUGGUCCAUAUUCAGUUUAUAAAAUUGUUGACCAUGUCUCACACUUUAUUGCACAGCCAACCUGAAUAUUAAGGAUUUUUAAAAUAAUUGAAUGUUUAUUGAAUAUUUUAAAAAUAAUACAAAUAUGUGUCUAUGUAUACAUAUAUACACAUGAUGUCAGUUAAAAAUGACUGUAUCACUUUUAAUGUACAGGUAUGUAUUAGUCUGUUUUCAUGCUGCUGAUAAAGACAGACCCAAGACUGGGCAAUAUACAAAAGAAAGAGGUUUAAUGGACUUAGAGUUCCACGUGGUUAGGGAAGCUUCACAAUCAUGGCAGAAGGUGACAGGUACGUCCACAUGGCAGCAGACAAGAAGAGAGCUUGUACAGGGAAACUCCCCUUUUUAAAACCAUUAGAUCUCACGAGAUUUAUUCACUAUCACAAGAACAGCACAGGAAAGACCUACCCCCAUGAUUCAGUUACCUCCCACUGGGUCUUUCCCACAAUAUGUGGGAAUUCAAGAUGAGAUUUGGAUGGGACACAGCCAAACCAUAUCAUUCGCCCCUAGCCCCUCCCAAAUCUUAUGUCCUCACAUUUCAAAACCAGUCAUGCCUUCCCAGCAAUCCCCCAAAGUCUUAACUAAUUUCAGCAUUAACUCAGAAGUCCACAGUCCAAAGUCUCAUCCAAGACAAGGCAAGUCCCUUUUGCCUGUGAGCCUAUAAAAUCAAAAGCAGGUUUGUUACUUCCUAGAUACCAUGGGGGUACAGGUAUUGGGUAAAUACAGUCAUUCCAAAAGGGAGACAUUCACCAAAACAAAGGGGCUACAGGCCCCAUGCAAAUCUGAAAUCCAGCAAGGCAGUCAUAUCUUAAAGCUCCAAAAUGAUCUCCUUUGACUUCAUGUCUCACCUCCAGAUCAUGCUGAUGCAAAAGGUGGGCUCCCACAGUCUUGGGCAGCUUCACCCCUAUAGUUUUGCGGGGUAUAGCCCCACUCCUGGCUGCUUUCAGGGGCUGACGUUGAGUGUCUGCGGCUUUUCCAGGUGCACAGCGCAAGAUGUUAGUGGAUCUAUCAUUCUGGGAUCUGGACAGCAGUGGCCCUCUUUUCACAACUCCACUAGGCAAUGGAGUUCUUACACACUGCCCUAACAGAGGUUCUUUAUGAGAGCCCAGCCCCUGCAGCAAACUUCUGCCUGGGCAUCCAGGUGUUUCCCAUACAUCCUCUGAAAUCUAGGCAGAGAUUCCCAAACCUCAGUUUGUGCACCCACAGGCUCAACACCACAUGGAAGCUGCCAAGGCUUGGGGCUUCCACCCUCUGAAGUGAUAGCCAGAGCUGUACCUUGGCCCCUUUUAGUCAGAGCUGGAGUAGCUGGGCACCAAGACCCUAGACUGCACACAGCAGAGGGACCCUGGGCCCAGCUCAGGAAACCAUUUUUUCUUCUUAAACUCGGGCCUGUGAUACGAGGGUCUGCCACAAAGGUCUCUGACAUGCCCUAGUGACGUUUACCCCAUUUUCUUGGUGAUUAACGUUCAGCUCCUUGUUAGUUAUGCAAAUUUCUGUACCUGGCUUGAAUUUCUCCUCAGAAAAUGGAAUUUUCUUUUCUAUCACAUUGUAAGACUGCACAUUUUUGAAACUUCUAUGCUCUGUUUCCCUUUUAAAACUGAAUGCCUGGGCCAAGCACAGUGGCUCACGCCUCUAACCCCCGCACUUUGGGAGACUGAGGUGGGCGAAUCACGAGAUCAAGAGAUUGAAACCAUCCUGGACAAAAUGGUGAAACUCUUCUUUACUAAAAGUACAGAAAUUAGCUGGGCAUGAGGGCACAUGCCUGUAGUCUCAGCUACUUGGGAGGCUGAGGCAGGAGAAUCGCUUGAAGCGGGGAGGCAGAGGUUGCAAUGAGCUGAGAUUGCACCAUGCACUCCAUGAUAAAGUGAAACUCUCUCUCAAGAGAAAACCUGAAUGCGUUUAACAGCACCCAAAUCACCUCGUGCAUCUUUGCUGCUGAGAAAUUUCUUCUGCCAGAUACUCUAGAUCGUCUCUCUCAAGUUGCAAGUUCCUCAGGGGCAAAAUGCUACCAGUCUCUUUGCUUAAAACAUAAUAGGAGUCACCUUUGCUCCAGUUUUCAACAAGUUCCUCAUUUCCAUUUGAGACCACCUCAGCCUGGGCCUUAUUAUCCAUAUUGCUGUCAACAUUUUGGGCAAAGCCAUUCAACAAGUCUCUAGGAAAUUCCAAACUUUGUUACAUUUUCCUAUCUUCUGAGCCCUCCAAACUGUUCCAACCCCUGCCUGUUACCCAGGUCCAAAGUUGCUUCCACACUUUCAGAUAUCUAGAGCAGCACCUGACUCUACUGGUACUAAUUUACUGUAUUAGUCCAUUUUAUUUUAUUUAUUUUUUAUUGCAUUUUAGGUUUUGGGGUACAUGUGCAGAACAUGCAAGAUAGUUGCAUAGGUACACACGUGGCAGUGUGAUUUGCUGCCUUCCUCCCCUUCACCCACAUCUGGCAUUUCUCCCCAUGCUAUCCCUCCCCAGCUCCCUACCUGCUGUCCCUCCCCCAUUCCCCCCAAUAGACCCCAGUGUGUAGUGCUCCCCUCCCUGUGUCCAUGUGUUCUCAUUGUUCAUCACCUGCCUAUGAGUGAGAACAUGCGGUAUUUCAUUUUCGGUUCUUGUGUCAGGUUGCUGAGAAUUAUGUUCUCCAGAUUCAAUCAUGUCCCUACAAAGGACACGACCUCAUCGUUUCUUAUUGCUGCAUAAUAUUCCAUGGUGUAUAUGUGCCACAUUUUCCCAGUCCAGUCUAUCAUCAAUGGGCAUUUGGGUUGGUUCCAGGUUUUUGCUAUCGUAAACAGGGCUGCAAUGAACAUUCGUGUGCAUGUGUCCUUAUAGUAGAAAGAUUUAUAGUCCUUUGGAUAUAUACCCAGUAAUGGGAUUGUUGGGUCAAAUGGAAUUUCUAUUUCUAGGUCCUUGAGGAAUUGCCACACUGUCUUCCACAAUGGUUGAACUAAUUUACACUCCCACCAGCAGUCUUCCUAUUCCUCCACAUCCUCUCCAGCAUCUGUUGUCUCCAUAUUUUUUAAUGAUCGCCAUUCUAACUGGUGUGAGAUGGUAUCUCAAUGUAGUUUUGAUUUGCAUUUCUCUGAUGACCAGUGAUGAUGAGCAUUUUUAAUGUUUGUUGGCCUCAUGUAUGUCUUCUUUUGUAAAGUGUCUAUUCAUAUCCUUUCCCCAUUUUUGAAUGGGCUUGUUUUUUUCUUGUAAAUCUGUUUGAGUUCUUUGUAAAUUCUGGAUAUCAGCCCUUUGUCAGAUGGGUAAACUGCAAAAAUUUUUUCCCAUUCUGUUGGUUGCCGAUUCACUCUAAUGACUGUUUAUUUUGCCGUGCAGAAGCUGCGGAGUUUGAUUAGGUUCCAUUUGUCUAUUUUGGCUUUUGUUGCCAAUGCUUUUGGUUUUGGUCAUGAAGUCCUUGCCUACUCCUAUGUCCUGAAUGGUUUUGCCUAGAUUUUCUUCUAGGGUUUUUAUGGUGUCAGGUGUAAUGUUUAAGUCUUUAAUCCAUCUGGAGUUAAUUUUAGUGUAAGGUGUCAGGAAGGGGUCCAGUUUCUGCUUUCUUCACAUGGCUAGCUAGUUUUCCCAACACCAUUUAUUAAGUAGGGAAUCCUUUCCCCAUUGUUUGUUUUUGUCAGGUUUGUCAAAGACUGUAUGGUAGUAGAUAUGUUGUGUUGCCUCCAAGGCCUCUGUUCUGUCCCAUUGGUCUAUAUUUCUGUUUUGGUACCAGUACCAUGCUAUUUUGACUACUGUAGCCUUGUAGUAUAGUUUGAAGUUCAGUAGUGUGAUGCCUCCCACUGUGUUCUUUUUGCUUAGAAUUGACUUGGGUAUGCAGGCUCUCUUUUGAUUCCAUAUGAAGUUUAAGGUGUUUUUUUCCAGUUCUGUGAAGAAGGUCAUUGGUAGCUUGAUGGGGAUAGAGUGGAGUCUGUAAAUUACUCUGGGCAGUAUGGCCAUUUUCACGAUACUGAUUCUUCCUAACCAUGAACAUGGAAUGUUUCUCCAUCUGUUUGUGUCCUCUCUUAUUUCGUUGAGCAGUGGUUUGUGGUUCUCCUUGAAGAGGUCCUUUACGUUCUUUGUAAGUUGUAUUCCUAGGUAUUUUAUUCUCUUUGUAGCCAUUAUUCUCUUCGUAGUUCAUUUUUGAUUUGGCUCUCUUUCAGUCUGUUAUUGGUGUAUAGGAAUACUUGUGGUUUUUGCACAUUGAUUUUGUAUCCUGAGACUUUGCUGAAGUUGCUUAUCAGUUUCAGGAGAUUUUGGGCUGAGAUGAUGGGGUCUUCUUGAUAUACAAUCAUGUCGUCUGCAAAUAGAGACAAUUUGGCUUCCUCCUUUCUUAUUUGAAUACCCUUUAUUUCUUUUUCUUGCCUGAUUGCUCUGGCUAGAACUUCCAGUACUAUAUUGAAUAGAAGUGGUGAGAGAGGGCAUCCUUGAGUUGAUCUUCGACCUCUGAUAUCCUUUCUUCUGCUUGGUCAAUUCGGCUGUUGAGACUUGUACAUGCUUCGCGAAGUUCUCGUGUUGUGUUUUUCACCUCCAUCAAUUCACUCAUAUUCCUCUCUAAGUUGUCCAUUCUUCUUAUCAUUUCCUCAAAUCUUUUUUCAACGUUCUUAGUUUCUUUGCAUUGAGUUAGAACAUGUUCUUUUAGCUCACGAAAGUUUCUCAUUACCCACCUUCUGAAGUCUGAUUCUGUCAUUUCAUCACACUCAUUCUCCGUCCAGCUUUGUUCCCUUGCUGUUGAGGGAUUGUGGUUCCUUGUAGGAGGUGAGGUGUUCCGGUUUUGGGUGUUUUCCUCCUUUUUGCGCUGGUUUCUUCCCAUCUUUGUGGAUUUAUCCACCUGUCGUCUGAGAAAUUGCUGACUUUCCGAUUGGGUGUGGAAGUCCAGAUUGUUGAUGAUGAAGUAUUUCUGUUUCUUAGUUUUCCUUCUAACAGUCUAGCCCCUCUGCUGUAGGACUGCUGAGGUCCACUCCAGGCCCUGCUUGCCUGGGGAACACCUGUAGCAGCUGUGGAACAGUGAGGGUUGCUACCAGUUUCUUCUUCCACUAACUUUGUCCCAGAAUGAUGCCUGCUAAAUGUCAGUCUGAUCAGUCCUUUGUGAGGUGACUCUUUGGAUAUAUGGCGGUCAGGGAGCUGCUUGAGGAGACAGUCUGUACUUUAUAGGAGCUCAAGUGCUGAGCUGUGAGCUCUGUUGUCAUUCAGGGCUGCUAGGCAGGUACGUUUAAGUCUGCUGCAGCGGAACUCAUAAAGCCCCUUUUUCUCCUCAGGUGCUCUGUCCUGGGGAGUUAGGGCUUUAUUUAUGAGUAUCCAUUGCACUGUCCUGCCCAGCAAGGAGGCAGUCUAGUCACUGUCUGCCUGCUGAGGCUAUGCUGAGCUGCUCUGGGCUCCGCCCUGCUGCCAUGCGCUCCACCCUGCUGCCGUGUGUAAUUCCCUGUAGUCCUGUUUAUAUGGAUGUGGUUAGAACUGCUGUGGCGAUGGCAGACUCCGUAAUGGUGGACUCUCUUUGUUAUGGCGGGUUGCCUUGGCAAUGGCGGGUUGCCUCGGCAACGGCAGGCUGUGUCAGCAAUGGCAGAGUACCUCCGUAGGGGUGGAGUGCUCGGUAAUGGCGGAUGCCCCUCUACCACCGAGCUGCACCGUACUGGGUUCAGCUGUGCUUGCCGUGAAACUCUCAACCCCGAGCGUUUCCAAUUGCUGUUUUGUUUGUUUUUGUGGGGGUGGGACCUACUGAGCCUGAUCACCUGGCUCCCUGCCUUAGAGCCCUUUUUUUUUUAAGUUGAACGGUUGACUCUCUCCCAGGUGUUUCAGUCACCUGCUGAAAGGGCGCCGGGAUCUUUGUGAUUUCCCGUGCAGCGACCCACUGCACCGACUGAAACAACAUCGCUGCCUGGGAAUCUCCUAGCCUGGCUUACUGUUUUAAGUCCCGUUUAAUCAGAUGAACGUGCUAAUCUGCUUUCCCAAAUCUCAAAUUGCCAGUUUAACAGGGCAACCAGACCAGUCAGUGUAUUUUGUACGGAGUUGUGCUGUGCUGCAGUUCCGGCCGAAAUGGCUGCACCGGCCGAAAUGGCUGCACCAGCCGAAACAGCCAUGCUGGCAGCCCGUGGGGCUCCUACACCUGGGAAUCUUCUGGUCUGUGGGCAAUAAAGAUCCAUCUGGAAAUGUGACGUCCACCCCCCCUCUGCGCUUUCACUGGGAGCUGCAAUCCUGAGUUGCUCCUAUAGCGCCAUGUUCUCCUCUCUCUCGUAUUAGUCCAUUUUCACACUGCUGAUAAAGACAUACCCAAGACUGGAUAAUUUAUUAAUUUUUUUAAAAGAGGCUUAAUGGACUUAUAAAUUUACGUGGCUGGGGAAGCCUUACAACCAUGGUAGAAAGUGAAAGGCAUGUCUCACAUGGCGGUAGACAAGAGAAGAGAGCUUGUGCAGAGCUUAAAACUAUCAGAUCUCAGGAGACUUAUCCACUAGCAUGAGAACGGCAAGGGAAAGGCCUGCGCCUUUGAUUCAGUUACAUCCCACCAGGUCCCUCCCACAACACGUGAGAAUUCAAGAUGAGAUUUGGGUGGGGACACAGCCAAACCAUGUCAGUGUAAGAGAGUUAUAGCUUCCUUUUAAUUCUCAUUCUCUUAGUUUAAGUCACUGAAAAAUCAUCUACGUUUUAGGUGGUUUGCUCCCUUUUCCCACGGAAUCUAGUUGUAAAAGCUUGUAACGUGUAUUUAGGGUAGGGUUUCCAAUAUUAAAACCUAAAAAUAUAUUUGUCUUAAUUAUUUUCAAGGUUGUUUAAUCUCUAUUUUAUUAGAAAAAAAGUUUCUAUUAAAUGUAACCUAUAGGGAAACCUCAUCUAUGAAUAAGUCAUUAUCUAGAAAGUUUACUUAGCUGAUUAUUUGCUACAAAGCUGAAGAAAGGAAAAGCCUCAGAUUAACCAAAUAAAAUUACAUAGGGAAUUCACUUAGAGGCUUUGUAUUUUUAUCAAAUAGUUCUAAUAAUGUAGUCUUAUGAUGGAUUUCUAGAUUCGCAUCAAAUUAGGAUGGAAAGGACUUACUAGGGACAAACAUACUACUAUUGAGAGGUUCUAAUGGAUAACUCUUUAACAAAGGACAAAACCACAUAAGUGGAAAUGAAGACCACAUAAGUGGAAAUGAAAGGAACAAGGAAGAAAUGUUGAAAACAAGUGAGACAGAAGAGAGGGAGUAAGAAAGGAAGGAAAGAACAGGAUGUGAUACAUAAUUCCUGUGCGUGGUUUUGCAGUUUUACUAGAAAUGUAUGUGCUCAUACACUAUAUAUGUAUAUAUAUAUUGCUUAAAGUUUUUAUCUUUUAUUUGUGCAUCUAUACAAGUUAUUCUUCCUAUAAAAAGUCAAAUAUUACAUACUACCUUAAUUCUGCCUCUCUUCAGAGAUGUAAGCAUAGUUACAUGCAUGUUCUUUUAACCUUUUCUGUGCUUUAUAUUAUAUGCACAGAAUUAUAUAUAAUAAUUAUAAAAUAUUAUUUUAUAAGCCUAUAAAAAUGACAAAGCAUAAAUUCUGUACUCUAGAUACUGUUCCUAACUUGCUUUUUUCUCCUCUUCCACUUAAUGGUAUGUCUAGGAGCUUUAUCUGUGUCAGUAUAGAAAGCUCUACUCUAACAUUAUUUUUUUUAACCUACUGUAGAAGUAAUUUAUGGUUUAUCAUUUAUUUUGUCAUUCCCAAUAGAUGGAUUUGUUUUAGGUUGCUUUCAUAUUUCUCAUCUUUAUAAACAAUGGUGUUUUGAUCCCCUUUGAAUUCAUCUUUAUUUUUCUAAGGUAAGUACUAGAAACCAGAAUUGCUAGGCCAUUGGACAUGCAUAUGUUGAGUGUUUCUUUAUAGCCUGCACCCUCCACAUUGGGUUUACCAUAUUAUACUCUCCAUCUUGCUAAUGAUUAUUUACGUUUUUUUCUUCUUUC